ACUUGGCUGUUGUUGCCUGUCGCUGUUCGUCUUUGUGGCAGGUGAGAGGGCCACAAAAACUUUCUAAGGUUUCGCCGGAGCCGUUUGAAAUUUCGUGACAAAACUGUAGAGCCCUCUGCAAGAGUAUAACAAGACGCCGGGACCCUUACAUGUGCAGCUGUUCACAGAGCUCAGUCUGUCUGCCUUCUACAAUUAGAUGACAAUCAAAUAGUCGUGCGUGCUCAAAUUCAUACAUAUAGUAUGUCAAUUUUGGGAUAUAUGUAUGUCGAAUGUGGACUUGCCAUUGUUGCUGGAAGUUUUCAAGUGCGUUAAAUGCUUCCUCUUCUUAGCCUU